rnacentral:rRNA from 1 species
GACGAACGCUGGCGGCGUGCUUAACACAUGCAAGUCGAACGGAAAGGCCCUGCUUUUGUGGGGUGCUCGAGUGGCGAACGGGUGAGUAACACGUGAGUAACCUGCCCUUGACUUUGGGAUAACUUCAGGAAACUGGGGCUAAUACCGGAUAGGAGCUCCUGCUGCACGGUGGGGGUUGGAAAGUUUCGGCGGUUGGGGAUGGACUCGCGGCUUAUCAGCUUGUUGGUGGGGUAGUGGCUUACCAAGGCUUUGACGGGUAGCCGGCCUGAGAGGGUGACCGGCCACAUUGGGACUGAGAUACGGCCCAGAGUCCUACGGGAGGCAGCAGUGGGGAAUAGUGCACAAUGGGCGGAAGCCUGAUGCAGCAACGCCGCGUGCGGGAUGACGGCCUUCGGGUUGUAAACCGCUUUCGCCUGUGACGAAGCGUGAGUGACGGUAAUGGGUAAAGAAGCACCGGCUAACUACGUG